AGAACCAAAUAGUACUAGGUACAGCCCAAUCUCAUUAUUUAUGACGAGCAGGAUGACAAAGACAAGGCUUCUGUUGAAACUCGGAAAAAAUUCGAAGACUUCUAUCACACAGAGAUGCUUAGAAUCAAGCCGAUAUAAGGUCAGAUAAAUUGCUGUGUUUUCUCACUGAACUACUUUGUUUGUUUUUUUGUUAAUUAUAGGGAACGGACGUCAAAAAAUAUGCGCCCGAAAUCAUGAGUUCCGCUCCGAAAGCCAAAUCACGCAGUUCUAUAAUCACGUAAUCUUUUUUACAGUCACUAUUUAUUUAUUUGAUUAAAUUUAAUUUGACGUAGAUAGUAAUAGUAAAAGCAAUCAAAAUAUAAUCUAAAAGGUAGAAAACAUAAUUUGACUUAAAUCUUGAUUUGCUGCCGCUCGUGUUCCAAAAAGAUGACAAGAUCACAGCCAGAUGCCAUAUUGAUUGUAACCAGUUAAAGCGAGACCAAAAACAAGUACCGCAUGUCGAUCUCGUGAAAUUAGCUGCUUAUGCUGUAUAUAAAACCAAACCAACUUGACUAGAAUGUAGUUCUUACAUGUGGCUGUUGAUGUUCACAUCGCAAAUAAAGAACGUGCAGCACUGCAGCUGUGCUUGCCACAAAACGAUAUGUUACAUGUGUGUAGUGAAAGAAGGUAAGACACCAUAACGCGAUUAAUUUAUAGCCCAAUUUUUCAGGUCCACAAAAUGUAGCCGUUGGUGCUCUCAGUUUCAUGAUUUAUUUCAUCUUGAAAUUAGUCACCGAUUACUUCACGGAUAUCUUUCGCUUCUGUUGCCAUCUCGUUUAGGUACAUAUAUGGACUAUCCUUAGGUUUGUUUAUUUUUCCCGAUGACACAUUUUUUUUAAACAUUCACAUAAAAAUGAGCGCAUUUGCUAACAGUGAUAUUUGUGCUGCUGGUGUAUUGUGAAGUCAAAACUUACAAAACGCACUGCCAUAUUUUUUCUUGAUUUGUUUGCUUUUUUUUUUAAUUAUUUGUUAAUUAUUUUUUAUUUGUGUUGUCCUACCGAGAGAAUUUCGCGAACACAAAUAGUGUAUACGGUGAGGUAAUGUAUAUUUUCACUUUUCGUUUCGACAACAUCUUAAAAGAAAUGCACAUUAUCCUAA